UGUAUUGUUUAUAAACAUUUUUUUUUCGACCAAUCGCAACCGUUUUCUAUUCAAGAUUUUUUUAAACAGCGGUAUAAAAUGUAAAGCGCAUUUUCGGAGUCGUGAUUUGAGGUGUAUCAAGCUAAGAUGACGGGUAAGUUUUUAACUUAAGACGCAAAUCUUUUUUUUCUCUUUCUGGUUUAACAUCUUUAUUUUCAGACGCUAUUGUCAUAUCGGACGUCGAGUGGGAAGAAAUUCCUAUAGAGGAAUUAACUUGUAAAACACCGGUACCUUUUCACCUGGAUGAUUUGUCUAAAAUUAACCGUGCGGUCGACAAUCUGAAAAAGGAGGGGGUUCAACCUUACCCCGGAAGUGAUAACUUUUACCCAACCAUGCCUCCAUCCACCAGCCGAACCGUCUUACAUUCGAAUCAGCCCAGCCAGACCGUCAGAUCACAAGCGAACGCGAAAGCUGUUCGUUACAGGACCAUCACACCACAGACGAUCCUCGAAGCUGAGCAACGGCCGACGGCCUACGCACCCCCAAUAUCUCAGCCCCCACCACCUCCACCCCCUUCUACUGCGCAGACGGAUGAACAACAUCCGACAGCCGCUUCAAUAUCUCUGCCCACACCUCCUCCUCCUCCUCCCCCUUCUCCUGCACAGGAUCAAUCCGACAGCGACUCUGAAACCGCUGAACGUGUUCCUGAGCAGCCAGCCGGUAAGCUGUUUCACAAAACCGCUCCGCAGCGUAUAUUAAAUUUUGAAGUAAAAAAUAUGAUGCUUUUUAUCCUUUCAGAUGAAGAGGAAGAGAACGCCCCACCUCCUGCACCUGUACAGAGUAAGUUAAAUUUAUAUAUAUAUAAUUUAUUUAAAAGCUCGUUCAUUUUAUUUAUUUUUAUUUAUUUUUUCAUCAGAAAAACGAUUGAAGAAGAAGAAGCGGGGCAGAUUUACGCCACUUCAGCGAUUAAACAGGAUGAAAAUGGGCUACCUGCUCCUACAAGUGAACUCCGGCCUGGUGGAUGUGGUGCAACAAGUUCUGGCUCUGUAAAGGAGGACGCAGAUUUUUUUCUUCAUUUUUAGUAGGUUUUUAAUGUAUUUUGUAUCAUGAGUGAAAAUUGGUUUGAUGACCUUUCAGAUUUGUUUGAAGUAGAUGAUGAAUUAAACGUAGAUGAUGAAUUAUUAGAUAGAAUUUUAGCCAGCCAAAAUCCCUCAGAGGAGGAGGCCGAUAAUUUGGUGUUAACUGACUGGUUUGAUGUAAGCGGACUGAGUGAAGUAGAUGAAUUAGCUUCAGAUAGUGAGAUUUUAGCAUCCCAAGCCGUUUCAAACGAGGUCGAUCAAAUUCUAGCAAAUUCAGAU
rnacentral:lncRNA from 1 species